rnacentral:rRNA from 1 species
AUGCGGACCCUCAUCUCCAUCCAGAAGCCGCUCCCUUCGUCCAAUGAGAUGCGCUCCGCUCUCAUCCUUGAGGAACUCAGCUCCGGUACUGACUCCGACCCGCCACACAUGGCCUUCGUCACUGCUAACCCCUCGAGCACCAAGGGCUUCUCGACAUCCAUGGAGCGGUCUGGCGGCAAACCCCAUGUGCCCCCCUCAAACCGGCGCCUGGAGGCCUGCCGGAACUUUGCACGCGGCAACUGCCAAUUCGGUGACAAGUGCAGGUUUCUGCACACCUCUUCUCAGCAGCAGUGUACCGGCCACAACUCCAGCAGCGGCAAGCAGGUGACCUCCUGGCCCUCCAUCCAAAACCCUUGGGUUGGCUCUAUCCAGAUGUGGCCCGGCCAAGGGCGUCCGGCUGGUCACAGCAUCCUUGGUCCUCCACCCACUGCCGCUCCACACGCCUUCCAUGCUGCCACCCCGACAACAACACCUCCACAGUACAUGCCGCCUUGGUAUGGCGCUCAAUGGUCAGGCGCGGCAUGGCAACCGACCACGUAUGGUGGUGCUCCAUCGACACACCCGUACUCCUUCGACCAGAACCAACUCAUGGGAGCUUUCAACACAACGAUGCUCUCACCUCCAUCGCCAUCUCAGUGGUACACGGACUCCAGGGCCUCUGCACAUAUGACCUCGGAUCAGGGAUCUUCGCACCAGGAACGUGAUUCUCAGAUACAAUAG